rnacentral:rRNA from 1 species
AGAGAGAGACAUGCGCGCAUAUCAAUAAGCGGAGGAAAAGAAACUAACAAGGAUUCCCCUAGUAACGGCGAGUGAAGCGGGAAGAGCUCAAAUUUGAAAUCUUAAAGGGUUUCCCUUUACGAAUUGUAGUUUAAAGAAGUGUUUUCUGUUGAGGUUUUGGUAAAAGUUCUUUGGAAUAGGACAUCAUAGAGGGUGAGAAUCCCGUAUUUGACCUUUACUUUCAACUUUGUGAUACACUUUCAAAGAGUCGGAUUGUUUGGGAAUGCAGUCCAAAAUGGGUGGUAAAUUUCAUCUAAAGCUAAAUAUUGGCGAGAGACCGAUAGCGAACAAGUACCGUGAGGGAAAGAUGAAAAGAACUUUGAAAAGAGAGUUAAACAGUACGUGAAAUUGUCAAAAGGGAAGCGUUUGACACCAGUGUUGUUUUUCUGAAAAUCAAUUAAAGAACUGUUUAUGCUAAGUUGUUUAGACUUUAUCAGCUAUCUGUUUAGUUUUGAGCUUUUCUUUAAUGCACUUUUCAGUUAACAAGUCAACAUCAAUUUCUUUUGCUGUAAAAAAGCUUGAGGAAGGUGGCUUGAGAUUCGUCUUAAGUGUUUAUAGCCUCUUGCCUAUGCAGUCGGAGAGAUUGAGGUCUGCAGCGCAGAUCCUUCGGGGCUAAAUGCAUUUGUGCUAAGUUAUAGCAUUUUAUAGACAACUUGUUGACUAUGAUUUGUCUUGUAGCUUACUCGCUUAUGUUAUUUUACCUACGCUUAGGAUGUUGACGCAUGAGAUAUACGC